rnacentral:rRNA from 1 species
AUUGAACGCUGGCGGCAGGCCUAACACACGCAAGUCGAACGGUAACAGGAAGAAGCUUGCUUCUUUGCUGACGAGUGGCGGACGGGUGAGUAAUGUCUGGGAAACUGCCUGAUGGAGGGGGAUAACUACUGGAAACGGUAGCUAAUACCGCAUAACGUCGCAAGACCAAAGAGGGGGACCUUCGGGCCUCUUGCCAUCGGAUGUGCCCAGAUGGGAUUAGCUAGUAGGUGGGGUAACGGCUCACCUAGGCGACGAUCCCUAGCUGGUCUGAGAGGAUGACCAGCCACACUGGAACUGAGACACGGUCCAGACUCCUACGGGAGGCAGCGGUGGGGAAUAUUGCACAAUGGGCGCAAGCCUGAUGCAGCCAUGCCGCGUGUAUGAAGAAGGCCUUCGGGUUGUAAAGUACUUUCAGCGGGGAGGAAGGGAGUAAAGUUAAUACCUUUGCUCAUUGACGUUACCCGCAGAAGAAGCACCGGCUAACUCCGUG